CUCUCUCUCUCGCUCUCUCUCUCUCUCAAGGCCCAAACCAGAGGUGUACUGGAUCAAGUUCAGUCUCUGGAAGAAGAGAUCAAUUCAGGGAACAACAGACAUCGUUCCUGUCAAGAACAUCAUCAUACACCACAAGUACAAUGCUAACACGUAUGAGAAUGACAUAGCCCUGAUAGAGAUGGAGAAGCUUCCAUUCAAGACCCAGUGUUUGAAGAGAACCCAGCAGUCAGUGCUGUGUGUGUUCCUGGUCCGUACAACUGUUCAACCCUAACCAUACCUGCAGCAUAUCAGGCUGGGGGAGGAAGAAAGAUGGUUCGUCAUCUGAUGUGCUGCUCUGGGCCAACGUCUCUCUGAUCGCCAACUGUCAAGAAUUCUACGGUCCGCGUUACUACGAUGGAAUGAUGUGCGCAG